GGAGGCAGUGCUCCGUAACCCUAGGAGCACUGGAAUGCAGCUGGCUGAAGACCUUGCACCUUGCAGACCAGGAGUACACAAGCCAAAGCAAGACGGCCACAUGAUCAAGACCGAGCCUGAGGACUACAAGACUGGAUCAACCUGUCUCUGAAUGACGAGACAGCCAAUAGGAUGCUGUGGAUUUCUGAGGACAGGGCCAAGGUGUCUUGUAGGGGAGAUGAUAUCAUGUGAACCGUCCUGGACAGUCCAAAAAUAUAUGCAUACUCCCCUCAGGGGAUUUGGGGCUUUAGGGGCUACUGGGAGGUGGAGUACACAUGAUGGGUGGUCAUCGGCACCACAUAUGAAGGAGCAGGGAGGCGAGGAGGGUCAAUGCUGGGACGCCCAGUGGCCUGGGGAAGAAUGAGGAAUUCCGG